GCCCGAAUAGCUCAGUUGGUAGAGCAUCAGACUUUUAAUCUGAGGGUCCAGGGUUCAAGCCCCUGUUCGGGCG
rnacentral:tRNA from 1 species